UGGGGAAUAUUGCACAAUGGGCGCAAGCCUGAUGCAGCCAUGCCGCGUGUAUGAAGAAGGUCGUCGGGUAGUAAAGUACUUUCAGUCGGGAGGAAGGUGGUAAGGUUAAUAACCUUAUCAAUUGACGUUACCGACAGAAGAAGCACCGGCUAACUCCGUGCCAGCAGCCGCGGUAAUACGGAGGGUGCAAGCGUUAAUCGGAAUUACUGGGCGUAAAGCGCACGCAGGCGGUUGAUUGAGUCAGAUGUGAAAUCCCCGGGCUUAACCCGGGAAUUGCAUCUGAUACUGGCAAGCUUGAGUCUCGUAGAGGGGGGUAGAAUUCCAGGUGUAGCGGUGAAAUGCGUAGAGAUCUGGAGGAAUACCGGUGGCGAAGGCGGCCCCCUGGACGAAGACUGACGCUCAGGUGCGAAAGCGUGGGGAGCAAACAGG
rnacentral:rRNA from 1 species